CCUAUCUGCCGUGGGCGCUGGAGAAUUGAGGGGGGCUGCUCCUAGUACGAGAGGACCGGAGUGGACGCAUCACUGGUGUUCGGGUUGUCAUGCCAAUGGCACUGCCCGGUAGCUAAAUGCGGAAGAGAUAAGUGCUGAAAGCAUCUAAGCACGAAACUUGCCCCGAGAUGAGUUCUCCCUGAGACUUUAAGUCUCCUGAAGGAACGUUGAAGACGACGACGUUGAUAGGUCGGGUGUGUAAGCGCAGCGAUGCGUUGAGCUAACCGAUACUAAUGAACCGUGAGGCUUAACCUU
rnacentral:rRNA from 1 species